rnacentral:rRNA from 1 species
UACGUAGGGGGCUAGCGUUGUCCGGAAUCAUUGGGCGUAAAGAGCGUGUAGGCGGUCCGGUAAGUCCGCUGUGAAAGUCAAGGGCUCAACCCUUGAAAGCCGGUUGAUACUGUCGGGCUAGAGUCCGGAAGAGGCGAGUGGAAUUCCCGGUGGAGCGGUGAAAUGCAUUGAGAUCGGAAAGAACACCAACGGCGAAAGCACUCUGCUGGGCCGACACUGACACUGAGAGACGAAAGCUAGGGGAGCAAAUGGG